CGCAUUAAAAAAACAACAGACAGCGGCAAGUGGAGGAUGCUGGAAACAGAAAGAAGGCGGAGAAACAUUUUCAUUGUUUGUGUUGCUUAGCAACAGUCCAGUUGGGGAGCUCCAGAAAAAUAAAGGAUGAGUUCUGUGAGCAAUGUUCCUUUACUUAUUGCUGACUUACUUUUCCGUCUAAAUGGAAAAGGUCGGCCAUAGACGGGAACUCGGAGUAGAACGUCUUCUCAACAUGAAGAAGCAGCAGCUUGGGGGUUUGAACAUCUGACAGAAAGUGGAAACGGCUGGAUGCCUCCGAGGAGAAGAAGAGAAAGGAGGGAAAAAGAAGUUCAGCAAAGAAACAGGGAAAUGAAAAACCCUGCGAGAACAUCUCCAAUUAUGUCUGAGCGAGGCAUGCAAAGUAAUGAGGACACGUAGAUCCCAACCAACAGGAACGCCCCGUCACUCGUUAGCAGACUGUGAAUGUAUUCCCACUGAUGAGCGCGCUCCAAAGAGGUUCUUCAAAGGCACGGCAGACCCAGAAGAGGCUCCUCUUGUAAUUCACCUGCAGCCCUGACUGCUCUGCUCCUCUAAACCGACACGUCUGCUCGGGUAGAGGCUGCGUGACGGCACGCUCUCAAAGACGGGUGGAGAGGAAACAGCGGCGUUGACACAGUUUCCCGCUCUUCAAAUCCUCAUGGAGCGACACGCAGGCUGACGUCUUUUCUGCAUGUGCAGCAGUUGAGGGGGGGGGGGCGGUAAUGAAGAAGGUAAAUAAAGCGAGUGUCUGCAAUCCAUGAGGGAGAACAGCUGCUUCAGGCGUUGGAUCAUCAUGAUUACCGGGCUGAUCUGACCUGCUGGCUGCUCUGCACUUUAACAGCUUCUGCAGUAAACAAACCUGUGGAAAAAAAAGACUCCAUACCCCCCCCCCCACAUACAUCCAUCACCUGCCUCUUUAUGAAGACCCGAGACAGCAUCCAGAAGGGCUUUUACUUCAUUACAAAUCCCCCUUUAUCAGGUUUCCUGAAAAUGAAGUGAAUUAAAGUUUGUUUUAAUCCA